rnacentral:misc_RNA from 1 species
AAGACUAUAGACCUGCGGAGUACCUGCGGAGGGAUCAUUACAAAUCUUUUGCGAGUAGCUGCGUACUUUACUGUGCGUCAGCGUCUCACAACAUUAGCACAAGGUCGCGAGGCCUUGAUGUUUACGCUUGUUUGUUUGACAGAGUUAGUUGAGACAAUAAUAAAGACAACUUUCAGCAACGGAUCUCU